AUGCUCUGGAUCCUCACCUCCUUCCUGGGGAUACAGUUUUUCCUGGCUGUCCAGACACAGUCAGUUACCCAGUCUGAUGCCCAAGUCACUGUCUUUGAAGGAGAGUCGGCGGAGCUGAAAUGCAACUACUCGUAUGUUGGAGCCCCUUACCUCUUCUGGUACAUCCAGCACCGUGGCCACGGCCCCCAGCUUCUCCUCAGGUACUACUCAGGAGACUCAGUGGUUCACGGCAUGAACGGUUUUGAGGCUGAGUUUAGCAAGAAGGACUCUUCCUUCAACCUGAGGAAGGCCCCUGUGCACUGGAGAGACUCAGCUGUGUACUUCUGUGCAUUAUCUGACAACAAAGAUUACAAACUUUGCUUCCCUAGUUUGUAUUUUGCAUUUUUUCCUGGAGAAGGUCCACAGCUCCUCUUUAGAGUCUCAAAGGCUAAUGACAAGGGAAGCAGCAGAGGGUUUGAAGCCACACAUGAUGAGGAAACCAAAUCCUUCCACUUGCAGAAAGCCUCAGUGCAAGAGUCCGACUCGGCUGUGUACUACUGUGCUCUGAGUGACACAGUGACAGAAACCGCAGGGGGAGCUGAGCACAGACUCUGA